rnacentral:rRNA from 1 species
AGAGUUUGAUCCUGGCUCAGAACGAACGCUGGCGGCGUGCUUAACACAUGCAAGUCGAGUGCGCGCCUGUAGCAAUACAGGUGGCGCACGGCGCACGGGUGCGUAACACGUGGGUAAUCUGCCCUCUGAUGGGGAAUAACUCGCCGAAAGGCGAGCUAAUUCCGCAUAACAUUCCGAGGACCUUGGUUCUUGGACUCAAAGGCGUAAGUCGUCGGAGGAGGAGCCCGCGCACGAUUAGCUAGUUGGUGAGGUAAUGGCUCACCAAGGCUAUGAUCGUUAGCUGGUCUGAGAGGAUGGCCAGCCACACUGGAACUGAGACACGGUCCAGACUCCUACGGGAGGCAGCAGUGGGGAAUCUUGCACAAUGGGCGAAAGCCUGAUGCAGCGACGCCGCGUGGGGGAUGAAGCUUCUCGGAGUGUAAACCCCUUUCGACCCGGACGAAUACCUCGCAAGAGGGGUGACGGUACGGGUAUAAGAAGCCCCGGCUAACUACGUGCCAGCAGCCGCGGUAAGACGUAGGGGGCCAGCGUUGUUCGGAAUUACUGGGUGUAAAGGGUUCGUAGGCGGUGUGGCAAGUCGGGAGUGAAAUCUCUGGGCUCAACUCAGAGUCUGCUUCCGAAACUGCUGUGCUUGAGUGUGGGAGAGGCGCGUGGAAUUGCAGGUGUAGCGGUGAAAUGCGUAGAUAUCUGCAGGAACACCCGUGGCGAAAGCGGCGCGCUGGACCACUACUGACGCUGAGGAACGAAAGCUAGGGGAGCAAACAGGAUUAGAUACCCUAGUAGUCC